ensembl:lncRNA
GACAUGGAUCAGCCACCCCUGUCUGCCCUCCUACCGCUUCUCACCCCUCGGGGAAGGGGGCAGCAGCCGGCUCCCCGGGGGGAUGCACCGAGAGGCCGGAGGCAUCGGCACCAUGGGGAUUGAAUUGCAGCUUGGCGAGAUUGGGGGCUGAUGCCGCUUGGGCAGCGUAAAAGGGGUGGAAAUGCCCCCUACGAGUUGCCUCCCCAUACAGGGCCUCCCAGCCCUGCGUGGAGUGGGCAGAAAGGCCUGCGCCCAGCCCCUGGUGUGGGGGACAGAGUGGGCGCAUGGCCAGCAUGCGGGGUGCUGUGCCCGGUCUCUGCUCCCCCGGGGCCCGGUGGGAAGCAGAGGGGCAGAGCAGCGGUGAGGCUGUGGGGUGGGCAGUGACCCCAUCUUGUCGCAGCCCCAAGGAGCAGCCUGUGGGAUUGCCCCUGGUAGCCGGGCUGGUCGCUCCCAGAGAGCGGGGAGAGCACGCCAGGAUACGCUGCCCAGCCCGGAGCAGGAAGGGGUGGGACCUGCCUUGUUGGUGGCCUCUGCGCACAGGCUCCUCUCCAGACACACGGUUCUCCUGGUGCAGGAUGACAUCUCACUGCCUCUGUCUUGGCCUGACACGACUGGUUCUGCUCUGCUGCCUGCCUCUGGCGCGCCCGGACCCAUGCGGCCUGAGCAUCGUGCCCAAGGACCCGGCGGUGGCGUUCGGGGGUGACGUGGUUCUGAACUGCACCAGCACGUGCUCCAAUCACACCAGCCUGGGCUGGGAGACGUCGGUGCCGAAGGUGAUGGAUCGGGGAGACGGCUGGGUGUCUCUGAACAUCUCCAACCUCAUGGAUUGGAACCUGGAGCCCCUGUGCUACAGCAUCAACCCGCAGAUCAUCGAAAAAGCCAGGCUCCACGUGUACCGAUUCUCACCCCCCGAGAUCCACCUGGGAGCCGAGAUGGUGGCCGGUCACCAGGAGCAAAUCACCUGCAACGUCUCCAGCCUUGUGUCCGGCUCCAGCCCCUCCGACAUCAACGUCACCCUGAGCAGCGGGGACAACAGCACCCUCAACGAGAGCCGCGGCAGCCCGGCCGUGCGGUACAGCUUCGUGGUGCGGCCCACGCAGCACGGGCAGGAGAUCGUGUGCCAGGCCUGGCUCCGCGUGGGCCUCCAGGUGCUGAGUAACAGCGCCAGGGCCACCCUGAAGGUCUGGGCCCCGCCCCAUAGCGUGAAGGUCUCCGUGGAGCGGCUGGAGUUCGGGGUCGGCGCUAACUUCACGGUGCGGUGCAGCGCCGAGGGGAAUCCCCCGCCCGAGCUGCACUGGGAACUGCCCUCCAACACCAGCGUGGAGCUGUCUGACCGCGGCCGGAGGGUGACCGUGCGCUCGGCCCAGCGCGCGCACAACGGGACCUACCGGUGCCUGGCACAGAACAAAUAUGGGGCCAGCUCGGGGCAGGUCGAUGUCCUCGUCGAAGUUCCCCCAAGGUCCCGAAUCGUGAUAGUCGCAGUGGUGCUGGGGGUGAUUGUGUUUCUCGGCGGCGUAGCCCUGGUAGUGUGGUGGCUUGUGAGAAAACGCUUCAUGACGUCUUAGCUGCGGCCCGCGGCAGCCGCAGUCCAGGGCUGUCCCCGCCCGCCCGCAGUGGGGAAGGCGACUCGGGGAAGGGGAAAGCACUGGGCAGUGAGGAGCCUGAGCCUUUGGGUGAGGACAAGGAGGAGCCCAGAGGUGUCUGAGCCGGAAGCCCUCACCGCGGGGGACUGGUUCCAGGGGCGGUGGGGUCACGGCCCUUUCCCUGCUGUGCCCCGGCUGGUGGGCUGGGACCGAGCAGAGGAGCCGAGCCGGGCCGCAGCUCUCCAGGAUGUCUAGCCCUGGUGCCUGUGCGUGUGUGUGUGUGCGUGUGUGCAUGUGCGUGCGUGUGAGUGUGAGCCUGUGUGUGCACGUGGGAGUGUGCAUGUGAGUGUGCGUGUGUGUGCGUGUGUCCGUGUGCAUGUACAAUCCUUUUUCCGGUGCCCUGGGACUGUUCCAUUUACAAUGAGUCCAGUCCAGACGCUCAGGUAACCCCAUGCUCCCGCCCCCCCAGUGGCUUACAUUGGUUCCUCUUGGUUUGUUGGUCUCAAAUAAACUGACUGCCCAGGCACCUUCUGCUCUGUGUGUGAGGCUCGCGACCCCACCCUGGAGCAGCCCCCCGCGGGCGCCCAUGGAGGUGUUAGCCGUUGGCAGGGCAACGCACGGAGCCUGUAUCAGC